UACGUAGGGGGCAAGCGUUGUCCGGAAUCAUUGGGCGUAAAGCGCGUGUAGGCGGCCAGAUAAGUCCGCUGUGAAAUCUCGAGGCUCAACUUCGAGCUGUCGGUGGAAACUGUCUGGCUAGAGUCCGGAAGAGGAGAAUGGAAUUCCUGGUGUAGCGGUGAAAUGCGCAGAUAUCAGGAAGAACACCCGUGGCGAAGGCGGUUCUCUGGGCCUUACCUGACGCUGAGGAGCGAAAGCGUGGGUAGCGAACAGG
rnacentral:rRNA from 1 species